UACAAAAAGUAAAUUCCUUUGCAAAACCUCUUCAAGCUCACAUAAAUGUGAUAUUAACCAACUCUAUAAAUAUAUCGAGUUAGCGUGUCACCACUUUGAUUAUCGAAUAGAACAUUCUACUUACAUUUGUCAACCAGUUCGGUCGUAUUUCCCAUUAGUCAGAAAUGCAAACUGAAAUAGGCAAGUCAUGAACAAACAUUUAUAGUUGUAACAAAAAGGGAUCUACAAAAUUUGCUGGCUGUUCCGUAAUCUUACCACAUUGGAACUACUCAGAUGACUCUUUGAGGUCUAGAUCAGUGCUCCUGGUGUCUACAAUAAGACUUUUGGAGUACUCCCGGAAAAACAUCAAUUGACAGGUGCCCAAUUUCUUAAGCGUGUUAUUUUGUAGAAUGCCAUGUUUUCGAAAUUGGGCAUCUUCCAGUUGAUCACCGAUGUAUGAUUUUCCAGGGGUACAACAAAUGUUGCCGACACAGAGAUCACAGCGUUAGUCCUCAUAAGAUGCCUACGCUUCGAUACUUUACGUUCUAAUUGGUAAUCAUGUAAGUCUAGUGCUGCGCAAAUCCCAUUCCAUCAACGUUUCUUCGUUAAGCCAGAAGGGAUUCAAUCUGACCCGACGUUGUUCUGACCAAAAAAGCAGCUCUCCUCUUGGUAAUUGGAAGCCUGGGCUUUUGGAGUCAGAUUUGCUCACCAACUCGGAGCCACUUUAAACGAAAUCUUAUUCCUAAUUGGGCUAUAAGAGAGCCUGGACCAAACUAUCAAACUAAUAUCGUCAUUCAGCUGGCUGUUCCGUAAGCUCACCACAUUGGAACUACACAGAUGACUCUUUGAGGUCUAGAUCAGUGCUCUUGGUGUCGACAAUAAGACUUUUGGAGUACUCCCGGAAAAUCAUCAAUUGACAGGUGUCCAUUAAACGAAAUCUCAUUCCUAAUUGCCUUUUUCGUUCUGGUUUUAUGGUCUAGAAGAGAGUCUGGACCAUCAUGAUCCUUUUUCAUUAGGUGUUGACUAAAAAUCAAGGGCUCUUUCUGACUGUUACAAAAGGUUAUUGGAUCUUCAAGAGCUCGAUGCAAAUCAGAAGUAAAUAAUAAAAGACAUUACUUUCAGCGUA